GACGAACCAUGCAAACGUUGUUCGGAAUAACUGGGCAUAAAGGGCGCGUAGGCGGCCGAGCGGGUCGUGGGUGAAAUACUUCAGCUUAACUGGAGAACUGCCUACGAUACCACUUCGGCUCGAGGAAGGAAGGGGUGAUCGGAACUACCAGUGGAGCGGUGAAAUGCGUUGAUAUUGGUAGGAACGCCGGUGGCGAAAGCGGAUCACUGGUCCUUUCCUGACGCUGAUGCGCGAAAGCUAGGGGAGCAAACGGG
rnacentral:rRNA from 1 species